CCGCCAGCCGGCAUGUAAAGCGCGUUUUAUUCCGUUUCUAAAACUCCGAGUCUGAUCGAACAUCUUUUUUUCUCAGAGGGAUGAAUGAAGAUGCGGGAGAUUACGUUCGUCGAUGUUCGCGGCAUCCGCUUGUUAAUGGUAUUCCGAUUGGAUUUUCCGUCGUGAAAUUGCAUCACGUAAAUGCAAAAGAAAUGCGUAAAGAGAAAUGAUGUGGUAUUGCAAGUAUAUUUUAUGCUUUUGAUUAAUAUUGGUUCUACAGUGUUGCGUCUGCGCUACUUCAUUGGAUACAUUGACUCGUAACUAAGUAAGAAGAUAAUCGAUAUCAAAACGAAUAAACGAGAAUCAACAUCUGAAGAGAGUUGCCUUGAGAUUUUUCAACGUAUAAAGAAUGUAAAGAAAACAAACGUCGAUUCAUUUAUAUCAUAUUCUGUGUUUUUCUGUACUUCCGUUUAAUUCGAUAUGCAAAUUAUACAUAAAUUGCAUAUGGGAAUAAUCAGGACGACAUAAACAUCACUAUUGUCCAAGCCAGAAGACGAGGAACUAACAUGAAGCAAAUUUGGAUUCGUAAAAACACAAACGACAGUGGCGAGCGAGCGAAUCGGAAGCGACAUCGAUCUUGUUUCUACGACAAAGAGCAGCGUUCGAAGAUUGAAUAAAGCAACGCGAAAUCGCGGCCGGGACUCCUAUGACUCGACUUGGGAUGAACUAAGAACGUGAGGUGGAAAUUACCGGUGCAUUACGAUGUUGUAAUAACUUCCCAACGACUCGGAUGUGCACUCCAGCGACGGGCCAUCGGCUGCAUUAAGCGCGACCGUAAAACGCGAUACUGCUUGCUUUUGUGCCGCAUCCGCUCUUUUGCGUUUUUUUUACGAGGCAAAUGAGAGAGAUCGUAGGACGACCGGUCUCUCCUCUCCCAGUUCUCGACGCAACGAUCGCAGUUUCCUCCCCGUCUUUUGCAUAUCCAUAUUUGGGACGCUUAACGUCGAUCAGAAAAAAGGUGCGGAGAACACUUAUGUGCGGCGAAUAUCGUGAAAUAUUACGCUCUUUGCGUAAGUCUGACACUCUGCAUAUUUCGAAAGAGAAAACAUUUUUACAUAUCACUGCAGUGCAUAUCUUAAAAAUAUCUUUUUUUUGUUAUUGGAUUGCUGCCAGUUACGGACUGCAUUGAUGUCACCUGAGCGAAAUUUUGUAGAGCACGAGACACGUCCUAUAAAAAACACUUUCUAAUUAUAUAUUAUUAUAAUAGCAUUCGCGAAUAUAAGAAACUACCUUCAGAAUCGUAAAUUGGUGGUUUAGCUCAGUUCUACGGCAUGUAUUGUAUUACUAUGAAAUUAUCUCUCGCCUUUUGAGAUUCACUUAUCUCGCAACAUGUAUUUACAUGUUUUUACUUCCUUUUGUAUAUAAAACUAUUUAUAUUAACAGAUGAUAUAAGUGUGAAUAUUUAUUCUAUAGAAUUAUUUACGCAACUUGUUACAUGCCAUUUGACCUGCACGGAAUAACUUCGUUGUAGUAAUAAAUAUAUGUAAUAUUCAGCA